GUACCCGUAGCUCAGCUGGAUAGAGUGUCUGACUACGGAUCAGAAGGUCACAGGUUCGAAUCCUGUCGGGUACGCCA
rnacentral:tRNA from 1 species